rnacentral:tRNA from 1 species
GCCCCAUUAACUCAGUUGGUAGAGUAGCUGACUCUUAAUCAGCGAGUCCAAGGUUCAAGCCCUUGAUGGGGUA